GACAGAGGGUGCAAACGUUGCUCGGAAUUACUGGGCGUAAAGCGCGUGUAGGCGGUUUCGCAAGUCAGGUGUGAAAGCCCGGGGCUCAACCCCGGAAGUGCACUUGAUACUACGGAGCUUGAGUACUGAAGAGGAGAGCGGAAUUCCCGGUGUAGAGGUGAAAUUCGUAGAUAUCGGGAGGAACACCAGCGGCGAAGGCGGCAUCCUGGACUGGUCCUGACACUCAUGAGCGAAAGCGUGGGGAGCGAUCCGG
rnacentral:rRNA from 1 species